rnacentral:rRNA from 1 species
CAGGGGGAUAAGNGNAAGAAAUUCCGUCUAAUACCGCGUAAUAACUCCGAGAGGCAUCUCAUGGGGUUUAAAGGGUGACACCGGCUACGGAUGGCCAUGCGGCGCAUUAGCUAGUUGGCGGGGUGACGGCCCACCAAGGCGACGAUGCGUAGGGGUUCUGAGAGGAAGGUCCCCCACACUGGUACUGAGACACGGACCAGACUCCUACGGGAGGCAGCAGUGAGGAAUAUUGGUCAAUGGGCGCGAGCCUGAACCAGNCAAGUCGCGUGAGGGAAGACGGUCCUAUGGAUUGUAAACCUCUUUUGUCGGGGAGCAAAAGACNCCACGUGUGGCGUUCCGAGAGUACCCGAAGAAAAAGCAUCGGCUAACUCCGUGCCAGCAGCCGCGGUAAUACGGAGGAUGCGAGCGUUNUCCGGAUUUAUUGGGUUUAAAGGGUGCGCANGCGGAAGAUCAAGUCAGCGGNAAAAUUGAGAGGNUCAACCUCUUCGAGCCGUUGAAACUGGUUUUCUUGAGUGAGCGAGAAGUAUGCGGAAUGCGUGGUGUAGCGGUGAAAUGCAUAGAUAUCACGCAGAACUCCGAUUUGCGAAGGCAGCAUACCCGGCGNUCAACUGACGCUCAUGCACGAAAGUGUGGGUAUCGAACAGGAUUAGAUACCCUGGUAGUCCACACAGUAAACGAUGAAUACUAAUUGU